rnacentral:rRNA from 1 species
GACGAACGCUGGCGGCGUGCUUAACACAUGCAAGUCGAACGAAGAGCGAUGGAAGCUUGCUUCUAUCAAUCUUAGUGGCGAACGGGUGAGUAACGCGUAAUCAACCUGCCCUUCAGAGGGGGACAACAGUUGGAAACGACUGCUAAUACCGCAUACGAUCUAAUCUCGGCAUCGAGGAUAGAUGAAAGGUGGCCUCUACAUGUAAGCUAUCACUGAAGGAGGGGAUUGCGUCUGAUUAGCUAGUUGGAGGGGUAACGGCCCACCAAGGCGAUGAUCAGUAGCCGGUCUGAGAGGAUGAACGGCCACAUUGGGAUGAGACACGGCCCAGACUCCUACGGGAGGCAGCAGUGGGGAAUCUUCCGCAAUGGACGAAAGUCUGACGGAGCAACGCCGCGUGAGUGAUGACGGCCUUCGGGUUGUAAAGCUCUGUUAAUCGGGACGAAAGGCCUUC